rnacentral:rRNA from 1 species
AACGAACGCUGGCGGCAGGCCUAACACAUGCAAGUCGAGCGGAUGAAGGGAGCUUGCUCUCUGAUUCAGCGGCGGACGGGUGAGUAAUGCCUAGGAAUCUGCCUGAUAGUGGGGGACAACGUUUCGAAAGGAACGCUAAUACCGCGUACGUCCUACGGGAGAAAGCAGGGGACCUUCGGGCCUUGCGCUAUCAGAUGAGCCUAGGUCGGGUUAGCUAGUUGGUGAGGUAAUGGCUCACCAAGGCGACGAUCCGUAACUGGUCUGAGAGGAUGAUCAGUCACACUGGAACUGAGACACGGUCCAGACUCCUACGGGAGGCAGCAGUGGGGAAUAUUGGACAAUGGGCGAAAGCCUGGUCCAGCCAUGCCGCGUGUGUGAAGAAGGUCUUCGGAUUGUAAAGCACUUUAAGUUGGGAGGAAGGGCAUUAACCUAAUACGUUAGUGUUCUGACGUUACCGACAGAAUAAGCACCGGCUAACUUCGUGCCAGCAGCCGAC